rnacentral:rRNA from 1 species
ACGCUGGCGGCAGGCCUAACACAUGCAAGUCGAGCGGUAGAGAGAAGCUUGCUUCUCUUGAGAGCGGCGGACGGGUGAGUAAUGCCUAGGAAUCUGCCUGGUAGUGGGGGAUAACGUUCGGAAACGGACGCUAAUACCGCAUACGUCCUACGGGAGAAAGCAGGGGACCUUCGGGCCUUGCGCUAUCAGAUGAGCCUAGGUCGGAUUAGCUAGUUGGUGAGGUAAUGGCUCACCAAGGCGACGAUCCGUAACUGGUCUGAGAGGAUGAUCAGUCACACCGGAACUGAGACACGGUCCAGACUCCUACGGGAGGCAGCAGUGGGGAAUAUUGGACAAUGGGCGAAAGCCUGAUCCAGCCAUGCCGCGUGUGUGAAGAAGGUCUUCGGAUUGUAAAGCACUUUAAGUUGGGAGGAAGGGCAGUUACCUAAUACGUGAUUGUUUUGACGUUACCGACAGAAUAAGCACCGGCUAACUCUGUGCCAGCAGCCGCGGUAUACAGAGGGGUGCAAGCGUUAAUCGGAAUUACUGGGCGUAAAGCGCGCGUAGGUGGUUAGUUAAGUUGGAUGUGAAAUCCCCGGGCUCAACCUGGGAACUGCAUUCAAACUGACUGACUAGAGUAUGGUAGAGGGUGGUGGAAUUUCCUGUGUAGC